rnacentral:lncRNA from 1 species
GUACAUAAGGUCAGAUCACGUGCAAAGCAGACUAAUGCCAAGAAGGAUGAUUGUUCGGGUGCUGAGAGUGAAAUCAUCCAGGAGGAAAAGGUGUUUAAGGUCAGAUCGCAUGCAAAGCAGACUAAUGCCAAGAGGAAGGAUGAUUGUUUGGGUGCUGACAGUGAAAUUAUCCAUGAGACACAGGUGAAUUUUCCUCUUUUACACUGUGUAGCACACUAUUAUAAACUGAUUCUCUUCACAAUGAAGCUUAAUAACCAUCUUGCUACCAUGCAACACUUGAAAGAAGUAUAUGCUCAUCAAGGAUGCAUUUGUUAGACCAAAAAUUCAGUAAAAACUAAUAUUGUGAAAUAUUAUUACAAUUUAAAAUAACUUUUCUAUUUUGAUGCGUUUUAAAAUGUAAUGUAUUAUUGUGAUGGACUUUUCAGCAGCCAUUACUCUAGUCUUCAGUGUCACAUGAUCCAUCAGAAAUCAUUCUAAUGAUAAUGUGGUGCUCAAGAAACAUUUUUAUUUUACUAUUGUCAAUGUUGAAAACAGUUGUGCUGCAUAAUAUUUCUGUGGAAACUGUGAUACAUUUUUUUUACAGGAUUCUUUGAUGAACAGCAUUUAUUUUAAAUAGAAAUCUUUUAUAACAAAUGUUUUAACUGUCACUUUUGACCAAUUUAAGGUGUCCUUGUGGAAUGAAAGUAUUCUUUUUUUCCAUUAAAAACCUUACUAACCCCAAACUUUUGAACAGUGGUAUGAGUAUGAGUGGUGCUGUUUUCUGUAGACAUUUAAGGAGAGAUCCCAUGCAAAGCGGACUAAAGCCAAGAGGAAGGAGGAUUGUUUCGGCUCUGACAGUGAAAUAAUUCAGGAUGAACAGGUAAUUCCUUCACUGGUAUAACAUGUAGCAUACCAUUAUGAGUUAUCCAUUAACGCCCACCUGGCUUAAUCUGACUUAUCCCGUCUCUCUCAAGAUCUGUUUACCUGAGGAGAGAUUAGAAGAAAUGAGCAGUUCCACGACUCACCAGCUCAACAAAACCGGAGAGGAGGCCACUGGGGUGAAAAGAAACCGAAAAGUAAAGACAACAACUUUACAGCCAGAAACAAAGGUGACACGGGGGUCAAGGAAGUCCAAAGGUGCUGCGCCUGCUAUCAGCCCUAAAUCAACACAUUUCACUCCCAGAGCACAUUCACCGGAGUCUUUGUCUCCUGAAGGACAGGCAGAAAUCCAGACAGGAUUACCAGCGGAGGCAGAUUUUGACAGAAAAGGUCAUUCGGAAAACACAGGUGGAAGAGAAUAUGCAGAACAUAUGCUGGUGGAGGAAGUGAAGAAAAAUAAAAAGUCUAAUAAGCAAACAGGCAAAUCAAAAGGGAAGAGUGUUCAAAUUCAUGAAGGCAUUGAGACCCUGAAUACCAGUGUUCCUGAUGAUCCCACUCCUACUUCAAAGAAAGUGAGUUACAUACUAGUCCAUAUGCUCAUGUUGAUUUUAUAUGCCUUAUAUUUGUUAUAACAUUCUCUCAAUCUGCAGAAGAAAAAGAAAACAGGAAAACAGAAAAAAGAAGAGACUAAAGAAGAAAAGGAAGAGCCCAUAAAAGCCCAGAAUGUGACAGUUAAAGUUAAAAAGAAAAAGGGUCAACCAGCAUUUGUUGUAGGUGAGUUUAUGUUAAGAUAAGCUAGUGAGCUGUCUCCAUCAGCAGCAUGAAUAUUUUACAUUUAUAUCAUUAAACAUUCAUAUGCAACGCUUAAAAGUGCUUAGACAAUUGUUUAAAAUAGUUUUUUUUUUACUGCUCAAAAGUUUGGGGUGAGUUUGUUAUGAUUUUUUUUAAGAAUGUAAUACUUUUAUUCAGCAAGGAUGCAUUAAAUUGAUCAAAAGUGACAGUUAAGAAAUGUUAUAAAAUAAUUCAACUUCCAAUUUUUUACUUUCUAUUCUAUUUCAAAGAAUCCUGAAAAAAAAAUGCUCACACAAAAAUAUUAAUAUUAAUAAGAACAACUGUUUUAAACAUUAAUAAUAAUAAUAAUAACAAUAAUAAUAAAUAUCUACUGAGCAGCAAAUCAGCAUAUUAGAAUGAUUGUUUAAACAGAAAAAAAAAUUAAGAAAAUCCCAUUUUAAUGCCUCUGUUUUUAGGAAAACCAC